UCCUACUCUGCAGUCCUGUUCCAGCCACAGAAGAAGCAAGAUGUGACUGCCCCACAAAAUAAGGGAAACAGAACAAGGGCUGUGGGGGCUUCUCAUCCUCAGAAGAAUCGUCAAAGCGUGUGUCUGGAGAGAGGCAAAGCGUUUGAGUCAGAUGUUUGAUCAGCGGGAUCGCUGCAUAAUGAGGUUGCACAUUCCACCUCCCAAUCUGAUGUGUGUAGCUGGAAACUGACGCAAUUUUCCAGCUGAAACAGCUCAUCAUCAUGAUAAGCACAGAAUGUGUGUUACAGACCACCUCCUCUGCCAUCUGCGAAAGGAGCACACACAGUAGGAGGGCAUGACGGCUACAAUAUGCGGCGCCGCCUAAUAAAAACCAGCUAAGAACAGCUGUUAGCAAGAGGAGUGCUCCAGUCCCUUCUAAUUUAUUCAUUAUUUUACAUGCCAAAGUGUUAUCAGAGUCCCAUCAACUUCGUUUCAUAUUAGAGGAAUUUCACAUAAGCUCUCCUGAGAGAAGCAAGCUCCUCAGGCUCCCCCUACAAAAGAAUCCAAUUAAGAUCUCUUUCACAGAAACUGACUUCCCAGGAAGCCAAGACUUGAUUUUGCUCUUAGACCCUCCUGUCACACGGUUGAGUGCAACAAAACUGUUGGGGAUGUAAGGCUCAGGUUGAUAGCUCAGAGACUGAAUGCCCCUGUGCUGUACACCUUAGAAACUCAUCCUGAACUCCUUUGACCCCUACUGGUCUUCUUGGAUGACCUCACAAUCUCAGCUAUAAUCAGCAUCUUUUGAAUCUGUUCUUAAUUCUAGAUGAAAGUGGUUCUCAGAAUGUCUUAACAGCAUGGAUUCCUUACUUCCUAAUCCAAGGGACUUAAAAAAAAGUUCAAGAUAUUCUGAUUUUAUAUAAAUAAUAUAAAGUGAAACAUAAAAGGGAAUUAACAGUGACUGUUUCAACUAUUGGGGUAAUAGUGAAUUAUACUUUAAGUUUUCUGAAUUAUUAAAUAACAUUGAAUGAGCUAUAUUCUUACAUUGUACAGACAAUAAUUUCUAAUGUAUGAAGUUGCUUUUGCCAUAUUAUGCCUUUGACAUUAUAACAAACUAGUGAGAGAUAAUAUAAUUAGUUUGAGGUCAAAUAAGGUGCUUGACUCAAGAACACUUAGCUUAAACGGAAUAGUAAGUGAGCCAUUUGAUGUCAGGAUGUUUCAAAGGUCAAUAUUUGUUGCUCAAUCUCAUUCAUUUGCUUCAAAAGUUAUGUUUUUAGACAUCAAUCUUUAAAUAUGCUUGAAAGGAGAUGUAUUAUGAAAAAAUGUGCAAAGACUACUAUUAAUUUUUAAUGUCUCGGUCAACAAUUUACUUCUUCACCCUGAGAUGAACUUGAAGAAAUAAUAACAUUUUUACAAUUUCAUCAGAUAGAGCAGUAAUACAACAAAAUAGGUUUUGUGUUAUUUGGCUAUUGCCAUUUACAUGUACUUAAUGAUCACAAGAACAGAAAGAGGCAGCAGGCAGACAGACAAAAAGAGAGAAAGAGAAGGAAGAGGAAAGAGAGGAAGAGAGAAAGAGAGAGAGAGAGAGAGAGA